AUGGCCUCGAGCUCCCUCCCGCUCCUCGCCCUCCUGGCCCUGCUGGCCCUGCCAGGGCUCCGGGCGGCCGUGACCCUGCUGGAGUCCGGGGGGGACCUCCAGCCCCCCGGGUGGUCCCUGACUCUGCUCUGCCGAGGGUCUGGGUUCAGUUUUGGAAGCCAUGACAUGUACUGGAUCCGCCAGAGCCCCGGGAAGGCGCUGGAAUACGUUGCAGUGAUCUACAGUGACUUCGACACCUGGUACGCGCCGUCAGUCAAGGGGCGGUUCAGGAUCUCCAGGGUCAACAGGCAGAGCUCGGUGAUGCUGACCAUGAACAACCUCAAGGACGAGGAUUCUGGUUCCUAUUUCUGUGCCAAAUGUUACACCAGUGGUUGUUAUGCCCCCGAUUGGCUGAGUUGA